rnacentral:lncRNA from 1 species
ACUGAUUAUUAGGCUAUAAUGAAAAUGAGAUAAAGUGAAAUCGGCAACGACCUCCAGGAUCUUCUAUUUCCUUUUACUUCCAAAGGCAAAUAAAAACCAUCUUUUACAGAACGUCCACUUCCUCAAGGCAAGUCAAAUCAGCACCUCAGUUAUUUCUGUUUUCUAAGUCAUCUGCAAGUACCCACAUGUCACAGAGGUAAAACUUGAUGGGACAAAAAUUCAUACAGCUAUCUUUUUUUUUUUUCAAAGUAAAAAAGGUAUUUACUUUCAAACUUUCAGACUCUUUCUUUCUGACCUUAAAGAACACAGGUGUGCCUGUUCCAUAAGGUUUAUUAGUGUAUUGCAAUAUCUCUCAUUUUUAAGGUUCUGGAACAAAUGAUUAAGAAUCUUAUUUUCAAAUGGAAGUAUAGAUGUAAACAUGAGUGUAUUGGACACGAACACAUAUACAGAUGCUACAAAUGUGCUUUAGCCUAAAAUAUCAUAGCACUUGCUCGGUGGUAGUAUCAUACAAUAGAGCCUUGGCACAAAGGAAUUCUGAUUGUGCUGUAUACAGAA